AUUGAACGCUGGCGGCAGGCCUAACACAUGCAAGUCGAGCGGAGCGGCGGACGGGUGAGUAAUGCCUAGGAAUCUGGCUGGUAGUGGGGGAUAACGUCCGGAAACGGGCGCUAAUACCGCAUACUAUCAGAUGAGCCUAGGUCGGAUUAGCUAGUUGGUGGGGUAAAGGCCUACCAAGGCGACGAUCCGUAACUGGUCUGAGAGGAUGAUCAGUAACACUGGACCUGAGACACUGUCCAGACUCCUCCGGGAGGCUGCAGUUGGGAAUAUUGGACAAUGGGCUAAAGCCUGAGCCAGCCAUGCCGCGUGUGUGAAGCAGGUCUUCGGAUUGUACAGCACUUUAAGUUGGUAGGCGUUACCAACAGAAUAAGCACCGGCUAACAUCGUGCCAGCCGCCGCGGUAAUAC
rnacentral:rRNA from 1 species